GGGAUUGCCCUAGUAACGGCGAGUGAAGCGGCAACAGCUCAAAUUUGAAAGCUAGCCUUCGGGUUCGCAUUGUAAUUUGUAGAGGAUGCUUUGGGUAAAACGCCAGUCUAAGUUCCUUGGAACAGGACGUCAUAGAGGGUGAGAAUCCCGUAUGUGACUGGAAAUGUUAACCUAUGUAAAGCUCCUUCGACGAGUCGAGUUGUUUGGGAAUGCAGCUCUAAAUGGGAGGUAAAUUUCUUCUAAAGCUAAAUAUUGGCGAGAGACCGAUAGCGCACAAGUAGAGUGAUCGAAAGAUGAAAAGCACUUUGGAAAGAGAGUUAAAAAGCACGUGAAAUUGUUGAAAGGGAAGCGCUUGCAAUCAGACUUGUUUAAACUGUUCGGCCGGUCUUCUGACCGGUUUACUCAGUUUGGACAGGCCAGCAUCAGUUUCGGCGGCCGGAUAAAGGCUCUGGGAAUGUGGCCUCCACUUCGGUGGAGGUGUUAUAGCCCAGUGUGUAAUACGGCCAGCCGGGACUGAGGUCCGCGCUUCGGCUAGGAUGCUGGCGUAAUGGUUGUAAGCGACCCGUCUUGAAACACGGACCAAGGAGUCUAACAUCUAUGCGAGUGUUCGGGUGUCAAACCCCUGCGCGUAAUGAAAGUGAACGGAGGUGGGAACCGCAAGGUGCACCAUCGACCGAUCCUGAUGUCUUCGGAUGGAUUUGAGUAAGAGCAUAGCUGUUGGGACCCGAAAGAUGGUGAACUAUGCCUGAAUAGGGUGAAGCCAGAGGAAACUCUGGUGGAGGCUCGCAGCGGUUCUGACGUGCAAAUCGAUCGUCAAAUUUGGGUAUAGGGGCGAAAGACUAAUCGA
rnacentral:rRNA from 1 species